GUGGACCAAGCUCGCCAGUGGGAGCAGGCUGGAGAGUAUAGCCGUGCCGUCGACUGCUACCUCAAGGUGCGGGGCUCAGGCAGCAGCAGCCUGGUGGAAAAGUGCUGGAUGAAGGCGGCAGGUACCUGCUGAGUGCUUGCUAGAUGCUAGAGCCAGAACUAUGAAAACUAUAAAAGGGAAUCUGAGGUGGAACCCCUAACAGCCUGAAAUUGGGGGAAGUUGGACACCACUGUCGCUCAACUAAUUGAGUACCUUGGUGAAAACUAAAGGAUGUGAUUUGAAGUGGAGUUCAGAGGAGGGUAGAGAGGCACAGAGGCUCUUGGAUUGCUGAGGGUGCUGGUAUCAAAGGCAGUGGCCAAGCAGGAAAGAAGCCACAAAAGGGG